rnacentral:rRNA from 1 species
AGCCACACUGGAACUGAGACACGGUCCAGACUCCUACGGGAGGCAGCAGUAGGGAAUCUUCCGCAAUGGACGAAAGUCUGACGGAGCAAUGCCGCGUGAGUGAUGAAGGUUUUCGGAUCGUAAAGCUCUGUUGCCAGGGAAGAACGCUUGGGAGAGUAACUGCUCUCAAGGUGACGGUACCUGAGAAGAAAGCCCCGGCUAACUACGUGCCAGCAGCCGCGGUAAUACGUAGGGGGCAAGCGUUGUCCGGAAUUAUUGGGCGUAAAGCGCGCGCAGGCGGUCAUUUAAGUCUGGUGUUUAAUCCCGGGGCUCAACCCCGGGUCGCACUGGAACUGGAUGACUUGAGUACAGAAGAGGAGAGUGGAAUUCCACGUGUAGCGGUGAAAUGCGUAGAUAUGUGGAGGAACACCAGUGGCGAAGGCGACUUUCUGGGCUGUAACUGACGCUGAGGCGCGAAAGCGUGGGGAGCAAACAGGAUUAGAUACCCUGGUAGUCCACGCCGUAAACGAUGAGUGCUAGGUGUUAGGGGUUUCGAUACUCCUUGGUGCCGAAGUUAACACAGUAAGCACUCUCGCCUGGGG